GUUCUCACUCGCCUGCGCUUGAACCCCUGACUGGCGAGUUCGACUAACAUUUUUUGCCUUUUUCUUUCAAUGAUUUCUUUUUCACUCGAGGAGCUGUUGUUUGUGAGGAGUGUAAAUUUAGUUUUACUCAUACAGUAGCCGCGAUUCCAGCCGAGGAGCGACAAAGGUGGAGCUAAUAUGGUUCAGAGUCCUCUUAACGACUAUCUUGUUUUGGAAGAAAGAAGAAAUGGAAGAGAUGCUUUGAAAGUGAGGCAGCUGACAAGACAGACUUCAGUAAGAAUCCUCAGCGUUGAUCAAGAAAGUUCACAGCUCACCUCAUCUAGAGUGGGAAUCAUCUUGGAAGAAAGCUUGGUAAUGGAUGAACUGACCAAUCUCAGGCCUUCUAUGUCCAUUGUUUUCAGACUGAUUUCCCUGCCUACACCUGGACUAUCCUAAGUGUAUGAAAAGUAUUUUAUAUUUUUUGUCGGGAAAAGGUGAGCUGACACCUAAAAUUCAGUAUUGCCAAUAGUGUGAACUCAGAGUGUGGAAAAAACAUAUUGUUUUGAUGCUGUUUGUUGCGAUUCUGAGGAAAACUUGUUUGUGUGCUUAACGAUAAUUUAAUUUGUUGAACUAGUAUCUUUUUGAACUUUUUUUUUUUCUCCCAUGUUUUAUGGGGAAAUGUUUUCAGGAUAUGAAAAAAUGGUUUUGUUGUGUUUUCAAUUGAAUAUUUGUAAUUGAAUUGAUUUAAAAUAAAAGGGAAAAUUGCAUUAAUGUUCCUUUAUU